rnacentral:rRNA from 1 species
ACCUGACUGCUAUCGGAUUGAUACUAAGCCAUGCGAGUCGUUGUAGCAAUACAAGGCAUACGGCUCAGUAACGCGUAGUCAACCUAACCUAUGGACGGGAAUAACCUCGGGAAACUGAGAAUAAUGCCCGAUAGAACAUUAUGCCUGGAAUGGUUUAUGUUCCAAAUGAUUUAUCGCCAUAGGAUGGGACUGCGGCCUAUCAGUUUGUUGGUGAGGUAAUGGCCCACCAAGACUAUUACAGGUACGGGCUCUGAGAGGAGUAGCCCGGAGAUGGGUACUGAGACACGGACCCAGGCCCUAUGGGGCGCAGCAGGCGAGAAAACUUUGCAAUGUGCGAAAGCACGACAAGGUUAAUCCGAGUGAUUUCUGCUAAAGAGAUCUUUUGUUAGUCCUAGAAACACUAACGAAUAAGGGGUGGGCAAGUUCUGGUGUCAGCCGCCGCGGUAAAACCAGCACCUCAAGUGGUCAGGAUGAUUAUUGGGCCUAAAGCAUCCGUAGCCGGCUCUGUAAGUUUUCGGUUAAAUCUGUACGCUCAACGUACAGGCUGCCGGAAAUACUGCAGAACUAGGGAGUGGGAGAGGUAGACGGUACUCGGUAGGAAGUGGUAAAAUGCUUUGAUCUAUCGAUGACCACCUGUGGCGAAGGCGGUCUACCAGAACACGUCCGACGGUGAGGGAUGAAAGCUGGGGGAGCAAACCGGAUUAGAUACCCGGGUAGUCCCAGCUGUAAACUAUGCAAACUCAGUGAUGCAUUGGCUUGUGGCCAAUGCAGUGCUGCAGGGAAGCCGUUAAGUUUGCCGCCUGGGAAGUACGUACGCAAGUAUGAAACUUAAAGGAAUUGGCGGGGGAGCACCACAAGGGU